rnacentral:rRNA from 1 species
UAGCGUAUAUUAAAGUUGUUGCAGUUAGAACGCUCGUAGUCGGAUUUCGGGGCAGUCCGACCGGUCUGCCGAUGGGUAUGCACUGGCCGGAGUGUCCUUUUUGCCGGAGACCGUGCCUACUCUUAACUGAGCGGGGGCGGGAGACGGCACUUUUACUUUGAAAAAAUCAGAGUGUUUCAAGCAGGCAGCUCGCUCUUGCAUGGAUUAGCAUGGGAUAAUGAAAUAGGACUUUGGUGCUAUUUUGUUGGUUUCGAACACCGAAGUAAUGAUGAGAAGGGACAGUCAGGGGCACUCGUAUUCCGCAGAGAGAGGUGAAAUUCUCAGACCCGCGGAAGACGAACCACUGCGAAAGCAUUUG